rnacentral:rRNA from 1 species
CUUAACACAUGCAAGUCGAGGGGUAACGGGGCGUAGCAAUACGCUGCCGACGACCGGCGCACGGGUGCGUAACGCGUAUGCAACCUACCUUGUACAGGGGGAUAACGGAGUGAAAAUUCCACUAAUAUCCCAUGGUGUUGGAGAUUCGCAUGUUUCUCCAACUAAAGCUUCGGUGGUACAAGAUGGGCAUGCGUGACAUUAGCUAGUUGGUAGGGCAACGGCCUACCAAGGCGACGAUGUCUAGGGGAGCUGAGAGGCUUAUCCCCCACACUGGUACUGAGACACGGACCAGACUCCUACGGGAGGCAGCAGUGAGGAAUAUUGGUCAAUGGACGGAAGUCUGAACCAGCCAUGCCGCGUGGAGGAAGAAGGUCCUAUGGGUUGUAAACUCCUUUUGUUCCGGAGUAAUAAGUGCCUUGCGAGGCACGAUGAGAGUACGGGACGAAUAAGCAUCGGCUAACUCCGUGCCAGCAGCCGCGGUAAUACGGAGGAUGCAAGCGUUAUCCGGAUUUAUUGGGUUUAAAGGGUGCGCAGGCGGCGCGUUAAGUCAGUGGUGAAAUGUCCCGGCUCAACCGGGGAACUGCCGCUGAUACUGACGAGCUCGAGUACGGACGGCGCCGGCGGAAUGUGUCAUGUAGCGGUGAAAUGCUUAGAUAUGCCACAGAACACCGAUCGCGAAGGCAGCUGGCGAGGCCGGUACUGACGCUCAGGCACGAAAGCGUGGGGAUCAAACAGGAUUAGAUACCCUGGUAGUCCACGCAGUAAACGAUGAGGACUUGUUGUCGGCGAUAGAGUGUCGGUGACAAAGCGAAAGCGAUAAGUCCUCCACCUGGGGAGUACGAUCGCAAGGUUGAAACUCAAAGGAAUUGACGGGGGCCCGCACAAGCGGAGGAGCAUGUGGUUUAAUUCGAUGAUACGCGAGGAACCUUACCUGGACUCAAAUGUUGACUGACAGGUCUAGAAAUAGACUCUUCCUUCGGGACAGUCAGCAAGGUGCUGCAUGUUGUCGUCAGCUCGUGCCGUGAGGUGUCAGUAAGUCCUAUAACGAGCGCAACCCCUACGUCCAGUGGCAGCGGGUAAGCCGGGGACUCUGGAGAACUGCUACUCAAGUAAGAAGAAGGUGGGAUGACGUCAUCACACGGCCUACUUCAGGCGACACGUCUACAUGUGCGUCCGAGAGAACCCCCUGCGAGGGACGAAUCGAAUCCGCCCAGUCGAUCGAUUCGAAUCAUCGAUGUAAUCUUAAUCGCAUACAUGCGCGAUCCAUACAGGCCUGGACU